GCCAGGUGGUCCCGAGUGCGUCCCUCUGUACCAGGCGCCGGGCAGGGGUCUGAGCCGUCAUUGCGGGAGGAGCACACCCACGGAACCCACUGUGAGGUACCUCGCGGACAGAGAUGUGUGUUCCUGCUUUCUUCCAGAUGCCCAGAUGGCACUUUGCUGUAUUCUCUGUCCGUUACGCUGAUCCACGGCAGAGCAUUCUGGGUAUAAAGGAGUCUUUACAACAACGUUUAUAAUUUGGACCUUAUGUCUGCCCAUUACUGUUGAGUAGAUCAUGGAGGGUUUCUCAACCUCUGUGCUACUGAUGCUUAGGACUGAAUAGUCCUCUGGGGUAGGGCUGUGCUGCGAGCUGCAGGCUGUCCACCAGCACCACUGGCCUCCACGUACUCGAUGCCAGGAGCCCCUUCCCAGCCGUGACAACCCAACAUGUCUCCAGAUGUUAUCAAAUAUGCCCCUGGAGGGCAGAGGUGGCCCCCCCGGCUAAGAACCCCUGGAUUACGGAGCAUACGUGCUGUGCCACGUGACACAGCCACCACAGAAGGGAGAGACCUUAGUGGCCUGGAGUCCCAGCAGGUCCAGAGAGAGCCCCUCCCGUGAGGUCAGCCCCUCCGUGGGGGGAGCACCCAGGUGACCGCGGUGGGUGCUGGAGGUGAGGACCCGGAGGGUGACCGGCAGGAGCAGCGGUGGGGGCCGCUGUGGAUGAGGUUCUCGGCCACUUGCCCCGCAGCUGCGGUUGGAAGGAGCAUCGAGAAAGGCUGAAGGGAGAAGGAUCCAGAACACAGGUGUUUCCUGUAUACAUUUCAGAUGUGCUAAGCAGAGCCCGUGGAGGCCCCCCGAGGCCCCCGAGGGGCUGCUGUGCCGAGAGCUGCUCCGCUUCGGCCUUGUCCACCGUCGGGGGCCCCAGGAUACGGGCCCAGCUCCCUGACAGCCAGCCCCGUUUGGGGGUCAAGUGAGCACCCCUGGACAGAUGUCAGGCCACUUAGGGCCGCCAUCCUGAGCGUCAAUGAAAGGCCUCCAGGAUUUCUGUAUGCCUGAUUAAUUCCAGUUGGCAUCAAAUUAGCAAGUUUGGCCUAGAAUGUUCAUUUUUACAAGCAGUCCUCGCUGGUUUUAUUUACAAAAACGAACAGAGGCCCCGGGAUAUGGACCAGAUUAGCUGGCAGAGCUGUCCACGGCGGAAAAAAAGUGUUUUUGUGGACGUUGACUUGAUGUAUGCUUUUCCCUCAAUGCGGGCUCGGGAGGAACCUGGCCCAUUUUCCAUCGCGUUCUUCCUGAUGCGUAAAUGUGAAAAGAAAACACAGCGUCCCUCUCCUAUCUCCCCUGACUCACGGGCUUCCACGCCGCUGGCUGCUGGCUCAGCUGAAGCUGGGGGCCCGGCCCGUGGCCUCCUUUAGAGCACGGCCAUGCAAACCCGGUGGCCUGAGCUGAAUCUUCUCACUCAUGUUCCUUUUCUUCCAGAAAAAUGAGGAGGGGGGUCCCUCUUAGGCCAUAAAUAAAUGUGGCUUAAAAACUGA